UGAGUAACCUGCCCUUAACUCUGGGAUAAGCCUGGGAAACUGGGUCUAAUACCGGAUAUGACUCCUCAUCGCAUGGUGGGGGGUGGAAAGCUUUAUUGUGGUUUUGGAUGGACUCGGGGCCUAUCAGCUUGUUGGUGAGGUAAUGGCUCACCAAGGCGACGACGGGUAGCCGGCCUGAGAGGGUGACCGGCCACACUGGGACUGAGACACGGUCCAGACUCCGUACGGGGGGCAG
rnacentral:rRNA from 1 species